CAGGACAGGGGGGCGGUCGCGCCCGGGAGCCGAACCUCCCGGGUGAGGAAAGUCCGGGCACCAUAGGGCAGGGUGCCAGCUAACGGCUGGGCGGGGUAACCCGACGGAAAGUGCCACAGAGAAAAGACCGCCAGCGGCCAGGCAAGGCCUGGUGCGGGCAAGGGUGAAACGGUGGGGUAAGAGCCCACCGCGCUUCCUGGAAACAGGGGCGGCACGGCAAACCCCACCCGGUGCAAGGCCCAAUAGAGGGGAAGGGCUUGCCCGGCCCGCCAUAACCCCUGGGAUGGGCCGCUUGAGUGUCACGCGUCACGCUUUGAGGUCAAUUUGCGUCACUUUACAGGUCAAUUUGACUGAGUGCAGUCAUGUUUG
rnacentral:RNase_P_RNA from 1 species